UCUCCUUUCUUCCUGUUUUGCUCGUGCCUUCCUUUUCUUUCUUUUUUUUCGUCUGCUGCUGUUGUCUCUUUUGCGUCUGUGGGUGGUUCCGUCUUUGUUUUUUCGUUUCUGUCUCGCUUCUCCUCUCUCCCCUCCUCCUCCCUUCCGCCUCUUGUCCCUUCUCCUCUCCCCCUGGAACUAAAAGUCGUUACUAGGUUUCCGUAGUGUACCUGCGGAAGGAUCAUUAC
rnacentral:rRNA from 1 species